UCCCUGGUGGCUCAGUUGGUAAAGCAUCUGCCUGCAAUGCAGGAGACCUGGGUUCGAUCCCUGGGUUGGGAA
rnacentral:tRNA from 1 species